rnacentral:lncRNA from 1 species
GCCCUUUCUUCUCUUUUCUGUUUAUCUCAUUCAGACGCUCAUUUAAAGUGUAUAUUUUGUAUUUAUUCUUCCAAGGAUUUGUUUAGUAUGGAAUUGCUAAGUUACAAAUCCUGGAUUCUAUCUCGAGGAUUCUACAGUGUAACAUUUCAAUGUGAAAUUUCGUUGUCAUAAACAAAUCAUUGCAAUCAUUGUAUAAAAUUUAAAACCCGC